rnacentral:rRNA from 1 species
CUACGGGAUGCUGCAGUGGGGAAUAUUGGGCAAUGGGCGCAAGCCUGACCCAGCAACGCCGCGUGAGGGAAGAAGGUUUUCGGAUUGUAAACCUCUGUCCUUGGGGACGAAGAAGUGACGGUACCCAAGGAGGAAGCUCCGGCUAACUACGUGCCAGCAGCCGCGGUAAUACGUAGGGAGCGAGCGUUGUCCGGAAUUACUGGGCGUAAAGGGUGCGUAGGCGGCAUAUUAAGUCAGGUGUGAAAUCCCCGGGCUCAACUCGGGGGGUGCAUUUGAAACUGAGACGCUUGAGUGUGAGAGAGGAAAGUGGAAUUCCUAGUGUAGCGGUGAAAUGCGUAGAUAUUAGGAGGAACACCAGUGGCGAAGGCGACUUUCUGGCUCAUAACUGACGCUGAGGCACGAAAGCGUGGGGAGCAAACAGGAUUAGAUACCCCUGUAGUC